rfam:Listeria monocytogenes EGD-e, complete genome
CUCUUAUCCAGAGCGGUAGAGGGACUGACCCUUUGAAGCCCAGCAACCUACACAUAUAAGUGAAAGGUGCUAAUCUGUUGCAGGAGUAUUAUCUUCUGAACGAUGAGAG